GGGAAUAUUGGACAAUGGGCGCAAGCCUGAUCCAGCCAUGCCGCGUGUGUGAAGAAGGCCUUCGGGUUGUAAAGCACUUUUGUUGGGGAAGAAAAGCGUUGGGUUAAUACCCUGACGUUCUGACGGUACCCAAAGAAUAAGCACCGGCUAACUUCGUGCCAGCAGCCGCGGUAAUACGAAGGGUGCAAGCGUUACUCGGAAUUACUGGGCGUAAAGCGUGCGUAGGUGGUUUGUUAAGUCUGAUGUGAAAGCCCUGGGCUCAACCUGGGAACUGCAUUGGAAACUGGCUUACUAGAGUGCGGUAGAGGGUGGCGGAGUUCCCGGUGUAGCAGUGAAAUGCGUAGAUAUCGGGAGGAACAUCCGUGGCGAAGGCGGCCACCUGGACCAGCACUGACACUGAGGCACGAAAGCGUGGGGAGCAAAC
rnacentral:rRNA from 1 species